ensembl:lncRNA
AUGUCUAUAGCACAUGCACUAACCAAAGUGUUUAUAGCACAUGAAAUAACCAAAGUGGCUAUAGCACAUGAACUAACCAAAAUGUCUAUAGCACAUGAACUAACUAAAGAGUCUAUAGCACAUGAACUAACCAAAGAGUCUAUAGCACAUGAACUAACCAAAGUGUCUAUAGUGCAUGCACUAACCAAAGUGUCUAUAGCACAUGAAAUAACCAAAGUGUCUAUAGUGCAUGCAAUAACCAAAGUGUCUAUAGCACAUAAACUAACCAAAGUGUUUAUAGCACAUGAACUAAACAACAUGUCUAUAGCACAUGAACUAACUAAAGAGUCUAUAGCACAUGAACUAACCAACAUGUCUAUAGCACAUGAACUAACCAAAGAGUCUAUAGCACAUGAACUAACCAAAGUGUCUAUAGUGCAUGCACUAAUCAAAGUGUCUAUAGCACAUGAAUUAACCAAAGUGUCUAUAGUGCAUGCACUAACCAAAGUGUCUAUAGCACAUGAACUAACCAAAGUGUCUAUAGUGCAUGCAUUAACCAAAGUGUCUAUAGCACAUGAACUAACCAAAGUGUCUAUAGCACAUGAACUAACCAAAAUGUCUAUAGCACAUGCACUAACCAAAGUGUUUAUAGCACAUGAACUAACCAAAGUGUCUAUAGUGCAUGCACUAAUCAAAGUGUCUAUAGCACAUGAACUACCCAAAAUGUCUAUAGUACAUGCACUAACCAAAGUGUCUAUAGCACAUGAACUAACCAAAGUGUCUAUAGUGCAUGCACUAACCAAAAUGUCUAUAGCACAUGCACUAACCAAAGUGUUUAUAGCACAUGAACUAACCAAAAUGUCUAUAGCACAUGAACUAACUAAAGCGUCUAUAGCACAUGAACUAACCAAAGAGUCUAUAGCACAUGAACUAACCAAAGUGUCUAUAGUGCAUGAACUAACCAAAGUGUCUAUAGUGCAUGCAAUAAUCAAAGUGUCUAUAGCACAUGAACUAACCAAAGUGUCUAUAGUGCAUGCAUUAACCAAAGUGUCUAUAGCACAUGAACUAACCAAAGUGUCUAUAGUGCAUGCACUAACCAAAGUGUCUAUAGCACAUGAACUAACCAAAGUGUCUAUAGUGCAUGCACUAAUCAAAGUGUCUAUAGCACAUGAACUAACCAAAAUGUCUAUAGUGCAUGCACUAAUCAAAGUGUCUAUAGCACAUGAACUAACCAAAGUGUCUAUAGUGCAUGCACUAACCAAAGUGUCUAUAGCACAUGAACUAACCAAAAUGUCUAUAGUGCAUGCACUAAUCAAAGUGUCUAUAGCACAUGAACUAACCAAAGUGUCUAUAGUGCAUGCACUAACCAAAGUGUCUAUAGCACAUGAACUAACCAAAAUGUCUAUAGCACAUGCACUAAUCAAAGUGUCUAUAGCACAUGCACUAACCAAAGUGUCUAUAGUGCAUGCACUAAUCAAAGUGUCUAUAGCACAUGAACUAACCAAAGUGUCUAUAGCACAUGAACUAACCAAAGUGUUUAUAGUGCAUGCCCUAACCGAAAACUACCUGGGUGGACUGGCUUGUUGCAGUUUUCUACAGAAUACGCCAAGCGUGAAGUAUAUUGGUCUGAGGGUUGGCGAGAUAAUCCAAACUCAGAUAAACACACAUAGACACACGCACACACACACACACACACACACACACACACACACACACACACACACACACACACACACAUUUACACACAUAGAGAUUCCUGUCAUUAUAGUAUAAUGAUAAUGGUAUCAGAUGAAUACAGUAGGCAAACCCACACAUAAUGAGACAACACAUUAAACAUACACUCAACUUAUCCACAUGUGAGCAUUUACAUGUUCAGAGGGUGAAAUGAAUUUAUUAAUUAUUAUGAAUUAUUAGUGCCUCCUCAAACUUUCGGUUUAUUAGGAAAUACGUCUGUGCAAGACUUUUAAUUCCAUCACUACAGCUUUUACUGCAGUUCACAAGUAUUCACUACUGUUCUCCGUCAGGACAGAGCACACUUUGUCCUGCCUCCACGUCUCUGAUCUCACAUCCUUGUUCAAGAAAUGAUGGGAAUUUUUAAACGGUUUUGUAUCAUCACUAUCUCUCCCUCCGCUCACUGUUCCCCUGACAGAUACUUGCUUACCUCGGUUGACAAGCUUGUUUAGGCCACUGUGCUCUUUCCAGAUCAACAUAAUAAGCUUGACCUUUACAUAAACAUGCAUCCAAUGAACCAGUAGCAACCCCCACUUUUCCACACUGCCGUCUUCCCACAUCAUAUGACAGGUCUAUUAUUUGUAAAUGGCAACUACACAGCACAUCCCUUGCUUUAAACCACUUACAGUGAAUCACAUCUAUUUGUGUAUGGUGUUUGCUGUCUUUCGGAAUGUCAAUAUUCCCCUGUAUUGUAUUCAUGAACAUGUCUUCCUCUGUUCUUCUCACUAUUUUAUUUCCUUGUGAAGCCUGGUUUGUAAAUGUCUCUAAAUCAUGGAUAAAUUGAAGAAAAGCUUCAUGAUUGGAGUUACUUCAACAUUAUAUAGUGUAUUAUCAGUGGUUGGGUUUGUUCCCAUUGUAAGUAGUACAUGGCAAACCGACAAUUGCAUUCUAGAAAGUGCUGCAAAAUAAGAAAUUCUCUGCAGGACUUUGUAGAAUAUGACGAAUGCACUCUGCUUUGCACCUCUUAAAGUAAAAGGCAUUUAUUUGUGGAAUGGCGUAAAUGAGGUACUCUAGUGCUAUUUUUCUGUAUCCUGUCCUUAUGGCUCCACAUGGUUCCUUGCCAGUUAAUUUUCUAUAUGACAUUUUAUCAGUGCACAGUGGAUGCAGUUUUUUUACCUACCUUUACAGCCUUUUUAAAACAUGCUAUAUCAUUUAAAAAAAUUGCAUAGUUGUCAGCUUUAUUUCUUUUCUUUUUUUCCAUUUCUGAAAAGCUGAGGUGAUCAAUUGGCAGUAUGCUUCAAAUAAGCUCCAUUCAGUAUCUUCAUUAUUUAUUUAUUUUAUCUUGGACCACACUAACUUUUGAGGGAAUAAUUCAAGCCCCAAAAGCUUGAAGACAAUCUAUUAGAACAAAUAUAAAGUACUAACAGAUGCAUUCAAAAGUCUCUUAGAAGCUUUUACUGUUACUAAUCCAACUGUCUGCUACCGGUUUCUUUUUAGUGCAGCUCCAUCAAACACAUUCAGAAAGCAGAUUACAAGGUAGAUAUAGUGUAUAGGUAGACAUAUAUCCACAGCCCCAAGAUUGCAAGUGAUUGAAUCUUAAGUGCAUCGAUGUUGUUUGGUUUCACACAUGGAAAAACAAAAUCAAAGUAUGUUUUAUGCGUGUCAUGUGUGUCAUUUCUUCUAUUUCAAUUGACCUUUAGGCACUGUGUCAUCACUGGAGAAAGUACAGUUUGUACAACUUGCAUUUCAUUGAUUAUUUUUGAUUCUCCAUACAAAAGGUCAAACAAGCGUUCUGAAAGUCCAGAGAGUUCUUAAAUGAAUCUCCAUUUUAUCAUUAGUGACAACAAGUGACUUAAGGAGCCUUGUCCUCCUUAUGUGUUAUUCAUAAUGUCAUGUUAUAGUAAUAACUGGCACCCCGGGGUGUUAACUUUGCCACUGUGAUGUUCAUGAAUGGAAUCUAUGGUAAAUUGACUGUUGAACAUUACACUAAUAAAGCAACAAUUUUACUCUCUUUCAUAAGUCACGUCUUUCGCAUUAAGCUGCAUUUCCUCCCCGUGUUUGAUACUUCCCUAUUUUCAAGUGUUGUAUUAAAUCCUCAUCAUCUCACUCAUCUUGUAAUAUUCCAAAUUUCCCUCUUAUUGUUAGUUUUCCUACUCAGACAUGUAAGCGGAGAUUGUUUUAUAAUGUGAAAUGUUAGACAUUGACAAGGCUCUUCACACUAAAUAAGAGGAGUUAUUCUAAAUCUAUUUAUAAAAGAGACAAAGUGGGAAAAAUCAUCUUUUUAUCAACUGCUCACAGAUCUCCUUCUGCUGUCUUCUGAUUCUUUCCAGUUUUAAUUGUGAAAGACCUACAUCUGCUGUGUGAAAGGGGGGGACUACUGUUCUAAAAUGUGAUGGAUUAUUACAACGACGUAGCCACUUUGGCCCCUAGCUAUGAAGUGACGGCUGAUAUAUUUAACUGGAGGGGGAAAAAAUAAUAAUCAUUUACAUUUCUUACUAAGGUCUUGUAACUAAAUUGCAUUCUCUCAGGUUAUCAUAUUAAGCCACUUAGAUUUUAAUACAAUUUGUCUUCAAUUAACAGCCAAUACUUCCAAUGAGGCGAGCGCUGAAUCACAGCGUAAUAGGUAAGUGGUUGUUUCGGAGACAACCAAGCUCAUCCAACUGCAAUCUCCUCUUUGUCAUAUCAUUUGAUACCUUUUGUUUUUUAAUGGAUAAAUUACAAGAAUUCUAAGUACCUGUCUCUAUAUCUGUGAAAAAUGCAAUCAAUUAAAAAU